GCCCGGGUAGCUCAAUCGGUAGAGCGUGUGGCUCUUACGACCUGUCUGUAGCAAUACUGUCUGCGUCAAGAUCACCUCAAGGUCGUGGGUUCGAGCCCCACCUCGGGCU
rnacentral:tRNA from 1 species